AGGCGUGAGCAGCGUCUGUGAGCGCCCGUGAAUGAAAGAGGAGCGACGGACGAGUGACCCAAGCAUGGCCAAACCUUCUAGAAGACUGCUGAGCUGGAGACAGCCAUAACAGAAACAAGAUUCCAUGCUGAGAGGCAAAAGGGGCAUGCUCGACGUUCGCUGCGACACGUCCUCUGUCCUGUUUUCGGCGCUCCUCCCUCCGCCCCUCGCCGGAGAAGAUGACGGACGGCCUCCUCGAUCUUCAUUCCUCCUUCGUCGUUCUCAGUCGGCCAGAGGCCGCCGUUCGUCUUCAAUCGCCGGCCACCGCGGUUCUUCGCAUCUGAACUCCAGAAAACAGAGCACACACCAAGAAAGCGAGCCAGCAAUCAAUCAAUCUGUUGCGAGGAGGAAGCGAUCGUUAUCGUCCCGCAAGCAGAAAGCGUAGCCGUCACGGAUGCCUUCGUUCUCGCGUCGCUCGGGCAUGGCGCUGAGGAAUCGAUUUUGUAAGAAAGUGAUCGAGAAGCUCACUGAUCGUGUUCAAACAGCGCCAUGAUCGUGACCACGGAUUUUGGAACCUUUUUUCUCUCUCGGACGGUCUCACCAACGCCUUCUUCUCUUUGAACGUUUCAUCUUAGCUUCUUUAUAUCUAUGGAGCUUCGUCUCAGAUAGGCUCACAGCGACGUACUCGUUCAAUUCCGGAGAUUUCCACGCUAAGCCAAUCCACCGUGGAUGUUGGUGGCGCUCGCUGAUGAGAAAUUGCUGGAUAUAGAAGAUGGAUACCAUUUGUCAUCUGGUUCUCCGAAGCAUUUCUUGAGGAGCUGCGUUCGACCAUUCCUUGAAGUCUAGACGUGUCCGCUAAAGAUUGUUUGAGCUCGACAAACAAAAAAACCAGGGUAAUACUCUGUAAGCCUUUGAUACGAGAAAGUGGGGCCACUUGUGGUGAUUUUCCGAGAUGGAUAUGUGUGGGUAUGAUGUUAAUUAAUGGUUAAGGUAUGAUUAGUGGAUGUUGAUAGUGUAAAUGCGAUUUCUAGACUGAUUGCGCGAUGUUGAUGAUAUGAUGUAUAUUGCUGAUUUUCAUGAUGUGAUCAACUAGAGAAUGCUAGUAAUCUUCAUUAGCUCCAUUUUAACA